AAUUUAGUUGGUGCAAGAAUAUAUCGAUAUUAUCAUAUGGAUUGUUUUUUGGGAUGGGAGCAAUAAAGGAAAAACUAAAUCUGUACAGAGCGAUAUAUGAAGAUAGAAUAGAAAAACUUUUAAAAAAUCUUGGAUCAUUUUUAUCAAAACAUCCCACAAAAACACUGAUAUGUUGUACUAUAGUGAAUUUACUGCUGGCACCAGGUAUACUGAACAUAGAAUUCCAAAAUGAUGUCGAGACGUUUUACAUUCCUGAAGACAGCAAAUCAAUAAAGGACCGAAACAGUAUAGAAUCAUUAUAUGGGGAUCCAACUGGAUCCAACUUUGCGCCAUACCAGUUAACAAGACAGGGUCUUUACGGGGACGUCCUUAUCGUUUCAAAAGAUAGGUCAAGCAUAAUGAAGCCAUUAUAUAUCAAUGAAAUCAACUCAAUAGACGCUUUCAUUAGAGAAAAAAUCCUUGUUGAAGACUCAGAAAUGCGCAAGUUCAGACACAGAGAUAUUUGUGCAUUGGGUCGGAGUGGGUGUGAAGUCGUUGAAAGUAUCUUACUAUCCCCGAAAUUUCAAAGCGACUUUGUUACGGGAAAUGUGACGUUUCCAGUUUAUAACAAAAUCUCUCUGAAUUCUCUGCUUGCAAAACCGGUUUCUCACGGCGGCGUUUUCAGUGGUACACACGAUCGGCGUUAGGUUACGUUAUUACCUAAGACAGAACACGACUAAUGCCUCUAAACUUUCCAAAGAUUGGGCGAAAGUUUUCAUCAAAACUAUGAAAACCUUUCACACAAAUCUGACUGAAAUAGCUUUUUCUCACUCUGAUUCCUUAAGCGAAGAAUUGGACAACAUUAAAGAAAGUGCAACAAUUUAUUUUAUUAUAACAUUACUAAUAAUGGUUGUUUAUGCGUUAAUCUCCUCUGCGACUUUCAACUGCAACAACGUGGCGAAUCGGAUGAAUUUGGCCUUCGCGGGCAUCUUUGCAUCUUUAUUAUCUCUUCUUUUGGGUUAGUCAUGGCGUGCGGGUUGGAAUUCACGACCGUUGCAGGAGUGAUCCCUUUCCUUAUAAUAGGCAUUGGAAUAGACGAUAUGUUUAUUCUGCUAUCCGGAAUGGCCGGUGCCCCUCCCCUUUAUAAAUCGACAGUAGAGGAGCGAAUGGCUUUCAUGUUGAAGAAGGGUGGGGUAGCCAUUACUAUUACGUCAGUGACAGACAUGAUAGCAUUCAUCAUUGGAGCUUCUGCUGUAUUUGUUAGCAUUAAGAUAUUUUGUAUAUACACAGCCGUAGCAGUGUUUUUCUGUUACCUAAACCAGCUGUUUAUUCUGUGCCCUGCAAUUGCUAUCAAUGAGUGUCGUACCGAACAGAAAAGACAUUUUUGUUGCUGCACUCAAAGAGUAAAAUCUAAAGAAAUUUACAAGAGAAAGUCGAAAUCGAGAUGUUUUAUUCAGUGCUUUGCUGGUCAUCAGCCGAAAAGUCGAGAAGAUGUUGAAAGUCCACUGGAAAAGUACCCAAAGAGACUGAUCUCAUUAAUUCUCCGAUAUAAACCAGGAAAACUGAUUGUUGCUGUAGUAUUUUUGGCAUACAUUGUUAGUUCUAUAUAUGGGGCGUUGAAUUUAAAACAAGGUCUUGAUGUUCACAAUCUAGUCUCAAAAGAUUCUUACUACUACACAUAUGGUGUCUGGGACACUACCUAUUUUACCUCAGACCCUAUGGUCACAGUAUGUAUUACAAACACUCACCAGUACCAUACGCCUCAAGUACAAAACCAGAUACGUUCACUCAUCCUUACUGUGAAGAAAGAUGACAACAUUGACGAUCACUUUGCGAUCAAUUGGCUGGCGGUUUACAAAGAGUCCGCGUUCUAUAACAGCACAUGAGAAAAUGCAUUUGUGAAAGCUUUGAGAGAAUUUCUUCAAUCACCACAAGGACAAAUGUUUUCUAAUGACAUAGUAUUGGAUGAAACAACUAACACUAUUAUGUCGUCCAAAAUUCACCUCAGAACUGUAAAUUUGAAAACUAACGAAGAGCAAGGCGAUUUGAUGUUACGUAUUAGGGAGAUUGAAAAACAUGCACCUGUUCAAAUCAUAAUUUUUAGCCCCAUCUUUACACUUUGUGAACAAUAUAUUCAAAUUUUGUCGACAACCUUGCAGACAGUCGGUAUAACUUUGGCGGUUGUUCUGUUGGUCAAAUACUUCUUUAUGCCCAAUAUCGUGGUAGGAGUGGUUGUGGCGAUGACACUUGUGAGCAUCAUUGUGGGAAUAUUUGGCUUCAUGUACUAUUUGGACCUUUCUCUUAAUUCCAUGACGAUGAUUCACCUCGUGAUGAGUGUAGGGUUUUCGGUUGAUUUCAGUGUUCACAUCUGCCAUGCUUUCUUGUCUCUCAAAAGCAAUGAUCGCGACAAGGUCUUGGAGCAAGCCAUUGACGCAACGGGUGGACCCAUCUUGAACGCAGCCUUCUCUUCCAUGCUUGGUGUUGCUAUUUUGAUAAUUUCCGACAGCUACGCAUUCUUGUGUUUUGGUAAAGUGAUGUUCUUGGUCUUAGGACUGGGCUUACUUCAUGCAUGCUUGUUCCUACCAUUAUUUCUAUACAUUUUGAUGCCUUGGAUAAUUCCUAAGAAAAAUGCUGUUGAACCAGAGAAUGUUAGAGUUGAAUUGAAUUAUCUUGAAACAUUUACGAUUUAUGACCCAAGACUUUUCAGAAGUGAACUAUCUUUGAAUAAUUAUUCAGACAAUUUUGAAGAAUUGGAAUUCGACAGCUCAUCUGUAUCUUCUGGCAUUGAGCAUGUGUCGCCAAACCAGGAUGAAGAGAAACAAUGAAAUAAUUAAUAAU
rnacentral:misc_RNA from 1 species